rnacentral:rRNA from 1 species
AUUGAACGCUGGCGGCAGGCCUAACACAUGCAAGUCGAGCGAGCGGCGGACGGGUGAGUAAUGUAUGGGAAUCUGCCCGAUAGAGGGGGAUAACUACUGGAAACGGUGGCUAAUACCGCAUACUAUCGGAUGUGCCCAUAUGGGAUUAGCUAGUAGGUGAGGUAACGGCUCACCAAGCCGACGAUCCCUAGCUGGUCUGAGAGGAUGAACAGCCACACUGGGACUGAGACACGGCCCAGACUCCUACGGGAGGCAGCAGUGGGGAAUAUUGCGCAAUGGGCGCAAGCCUGACGCAGCCAUGCCGCGUGAAUGAAGAAGGCCUUCGGGUUGUAAAGUUCUUUCGGUAGCGAGGCGUUAACUACAGAAGAAGCACCGGCUAACUCCGUGCCAGCAGCCGCGGUAAUAC